GAUGAACGCUGGCGGCGUGCCUAAUACAUGCAAGUCGAGCGAACAGACGAGGAGCUUGCUCCUCUGACGUUAGCGGCGGACGGGUGAGUAACACGUGGAUAACCUACCUAUAAGACUGGGAUAACUUCGGGAAACCGGUGCUAAUACCGGAUAAUAUAUUGAACCGCAUGGUUCAAUAGUGAAAGACGGUUUUGCUGUAACUUAUAGAUGGAUCCGCGCCGCAUUAGCUAGUUGGUAAGGUAACGGCUUACCAAGGCGACGAUGCGUAGCCGACCUGAGAGGGGGAUCGGCCACACUGGAACGGAGACACGGUCCAGACUCCUACGGGAGGCAGCAGAAGGGAAUCUUCCGCAAUGGGCGAAGUCCUGACGGAGCAACGCCGCGGGAGGGAGGAAGGUCUUCGGAUCGUAAAACUCUGUUAUUAGGGAAGAACAAAGGGGUAAGUAACUAUGCACGUCUUGACGGUACCUAAUCAGAAAGCCACGGCUAACUACGUG
rnacentral:rRNA from 1 species